ACCCUCCAGCAUUUCUGCUUCCAGGUAAAACCUGCACGUGUGAGGAAUGUGUGGCAUUGUAAUGUCAGUCCUCCCUUCAGUUGCUGUCACUUGAAAGAAAAUGUGUUUGUUUAACAAACAUAAAUUGAGUGCCUACUGUGUACCCACACUUCUAGAUCCUGCUGUUGCUGCAGCCACAGCUGUGAUUAGGGCAAGUCUCAGCUCCCCUGGAGUGAGUGCUCCUGUGGGCCAUCAGGUGACAUGGGGACAGAUGCCACAGGGGAGUGUAGAGGAGGGGCCAGGGAGCGCUGUGGGAGCGAGGCUCUCUGAGAAGGCGAUGCGUGAGCCAAGGCCCAGGGUUGGGGUGGGGUGGCACCUGGGUGAGUGGAUCAGGUAGGGAGGCAGCUGGGCUGGCAUGGGAAUGAGGCAGGAGGCCCAGCCAUGGGGAACUGGAGGUCCUGCCUUUUUGAGACGGAAGCCACUGAACAGGUGAGGACUGAAGUUUAGAGUUUGGAUGGUUUACUGCCUUUGAUUGGCACACAGCCGCCAGUGUGUGUGCGUUGUGUGUGUGCAAUGGUGAGGCCACUGUGCACCCGGUGGCUGGCUUCUCAUGAGUUUAACACACACUCACCACACCAGUCAGCCCUCACGUCUUUACCCUGGAUCCUUUUCGAGAAAGGAUCUGGAAAGUAAACAUUUUAGACUUUGAGGGCCACAGUCACUGUCCAUGUUCCUCUCUGUGGUUGUCCUGCCAGACACACACCAUGAGUUUACAAAGACAGGCGGUGGAUGGAUGUGGCCUGGGGCCUGUUUGCCAAUGCCAGCCCCAGAAAAUAAAACUUAUGUUUGCAUAAAUACCUAUACACAGAUAUUUCUACCCAGGCAUAAUCACCAAGUGCUGGAAGCAACACAAGCGUCCUUCAAUGGUGAACGGAUGGCAGGGCCCCCAGAAGACCACAGGAAAGUCGUGUAGAGAAGACGUUCAGAUGGGGCGUCAGAUGUGGGGGAGAACGAGCUGGAGAUGGACACGGACAUGGAGGUGUGGAUGGCCCUGGGGAGGCCCCCUGGCAGCUGGUGGAUGGCAGGAGCGGCGUGGACAGCAGGAGCAGCAUGAACUGCAGGAGCGGCACGGGAUAAGAGAGCCAAGCAAAGUUCUUCCUCCUGCUGAGAGAACAGAUCCUGUGUGACCUUCACACCUUCAUUAUUGGAAACUGCUAAUGUGUGUUCCUUUUGAAAUGUGCAAGAUGUUGGACGUGAUAAACUGAGGGAAGAUUAAGGUGAGUAACUCCUUUGUUUAAACUUUGGCUUCAUGGGUAGUCUUAUUAAAGGAAGGGAUUUAAAGUGCUUAAAAAUUCAAUAGGACAAAGGGCAUGUUGUGGUUCAAGAAGUGACGUAUUGCCAUACAGGAUGCGAUCUGUUCCAACGACCAUAAAGCAGUCAUCUGAGCUCGCUGUGGUUGGAGCCGGCCAAUUAUAACACCUCCUGAAGACACAGGGACGCAAUCUGCACGCUCCUGCAGGUCCCUGGGACGGCUUGGCUGGCAGCUCGGACAGCUGGGCUCCUCCAGGCACUGCUGAGCCCCCUUACGUCCAGUCAAGGUCAUCCUAGCCAUUCCCCCGUGGCCGUCUCCCCAGCCAGUGGCUAAAGUCACCGGCAGACCAGCCAUUAAAGAUGGGACGCCACUUGCUUCCCUUCAACAUCCUCUUGGCUUUUUGCAAAAUCCUUAUCUUAGACAUUUCUCCUUAUGCUUAAGACACGUCGUUUGGUGGGGUCCUCUCUCAGGGCGAAUCCAUUCAGGGCUCACAGCAAGAGGGGAGCACACAAAGGAGAAGGGCUGGAUUAGGGGACAGGAGCAUUGGGAGGGUGUCAAAUUCUCCACCUCUGCAUUGUGUGGCUUCUCUGAGUGUUUCCUCGUGGGCACUGGGAGGAUGAUGUUUGCUCUGGGAACCAACCAGUGUCAACAUGAGAACCAAGCGCUGCUUGUUGGGCGAGGCCCGAAGAACUGGAAUCUGGAGUCAGACAGGCCUGGGCUUGUGUUUCACAUCUGCCACUCACUGUGGGGCCAAGGUGGCAAGGACUUACCUUCCUUGUGCUUCGGUGCCUGCAUUUGUUAAGUGGGGAUAACAGCAUCUAAUUCAUUUUGAUGAGGAUGUUCUCAGGCUUAAUGCUAUAAUUUAUGGAACUAGUGCUUGGCCCAGUGCAGAACCUCAAGGAAUGGCAGCCGCUUUUAAAGUUAUUACCACGACGAUAGUGUUAUUAUCACUCUUACUCCUACUUCCAUUACCAUUACUACAGCGCACGGCGCAGAAGCCCUUCAGAAAGCGCGGAGCCCCUUGCAGGUGUGAGGGCUGAUUCCGGGUAACGUCCAGGCUCACCUGAUGACGGCUGUAAUUACCCAGAACUUGCUGCUGGUCUCUCCUGCCGGUAACUCUUGCAGAACAGCCACCAGGAGCCUUUUAUAUCGUGUGUCAUAACACAACUCUGGGUUCUUAGGAAGUUGGGUGUGUAACGGCCCCACCCGUCACAGAAGCAGAGUGCAUUUCCAGAUUAAAAACGACGAGGACUCUUGCUCCUGUGCGGGCGAGCUGUGACCUGCACUUUGUAGCUGCACACACUGAUGUAUCUUUGUGCACAUAAUGACUGCUUCAGGCCAGUGUGUGCAUGUGCAGAUGGCACUGCCCUUCCCUUCAAGCUGUGCUGGUGGAAUACCUCUCACAUCCGCCCAGUGAGGCCCAAGCCUCCUCCUGUCUCAGCCUUCGUCACUCUCAUCUCAGCCUUUUUCUUCCUAGUCACCUAGAGGUGUUGAUGAGUUAGUGCAGUCACUCAUUCACAUCAACAAACAUGUAUCUUGGGCCUGCGGUAUAUAGCAGCACUGGUGAUACCAGCCAGGAAAUCAGCAUGUAGACUGCCCGCUCCGUGGGGCACAUGUGUCGGGGCCUCAGAGAGCAGGAGGAGCUUGUGUGCUUUCUGCUUGGCUGGGGAAACCAAAUACAGGGACAAAGGGACAAGUCACCCAGGCAUCACAAUGUGCUCACACACCUGCAGAUGCACCGCAAGGGUGGACACCGUGUGGGGCCUGGCCUGUGCCCAGCGCUGGGUUAGAAUGUGGCAUUGUCCCUGUCCUAGUGAGCUCACGCCUAGAUGAGGGACGCUCUGGUGAACACACAAUUUAACCUUCAGUAGAAUCCAAGCAGGUAAAUAUCAGGUUUUAGAAGAAGAGAAAGACCACGUUUGGCAAAGAGGCACAUGAUGGCUUUGAAGAUCUGGGAAACGUGGAGCUAGAGGUGAGUGAGGCCUGUGCUGGGAUGAGAAAUAGGGGUUCAGCCAAGGGGGCUCAUGAGAUGCAGCCAGAGGGAUGGCGCCGUGGUGCACACACACGAGGAUCCCCUGCCACGGUGGACACACAUGGGGACCCCCUGCCACAGUGGACAUGCACGAGGAUCCCCUGCCACAGUGGACACACACGGGGACCCCCUGCCACAGCCCAUACACAGAAGAGCCGCCUGCCGUGGUGCACUCACACAGGAAUGGGAUGCGAGUCAGGCAGUGAUGAGUGAUGGUCCCCCACGCCAGGCAGACAAGCUGAGGUGGAGCUAGGUGGCAAGAAGGAUGGUGAGGGGCUCCCGUGUGUGUGCACUGUGGCAGGGGUUCCCAUGUGUGCGCCGUGGCAGGCGAUCCCCAUGUGUGUGCGCUGUGGCAGAGGGUCCCUGCGUGUGUGCACCGUGGCAGGGGCUUCCUGCGUGUGUGCAUUGUGGCAGGGGGUCCCCAUGUGCGUGCCCCGUGGCAGGGGGUCCCUGCGUGUGUGCGCUGUGGCAGGGGGUCCCCGUGUGUGUGCCG
rnacentral:lncRNA from 1 species